AAGCAGCCCGGCCCCCCGCUGCCGGGGCGGAGCUGCCUCCUUCCUCCUCCUCCUUGAUCUCCUCUUUCCAGGGUUGCCGGCCGCGGUAGCGCUGGGCUCUUCGUGGAACACCGGAAUGUGGAGCACCGAAACAUCUGGUUGUUGUUUCCCCACCCUCCCGUCUGUCUGUGAGCCAAAAAAGUCAUCUUCCGGAAGAUCUGCGGCUGUUCAUAUCUGACAAUGCGUUAAAAAUGGAAAAGAGAGCGUGAUUAAAACUGAAAUUAAAUUGUCAAAAACAAAGCCAGGAAACCUACACGCUGCAAAUUCUAUUUUCAGGUUUUACCUGAAGAACUUCAGGCACCGUGCAAAUGUACAGGAUUGGAGUUAUAAGUGUUCUUUGGGCAUCUUUUCUGCAGUCAUUUAGGAUCUCAGAUACUCUGCUUGUUUUCAUAAUAUUUAUUGAUAAACAGAUUUUGAUCCAACCAGAACACAUGGAUUUCAGCCUGUGUCCUAAGCAGUAUAACUGUUAAGUUUACUGGCUAUACUGGAAGAGCAUUUGAGAAGCUGAGAGCAGAACUCCGAAAGUAAAGCCGGAGAUGCUGAGAUAGCCAAUAAAAAAAACCAACUGUGAACCCUGAGAACAAACAGAGGCAGACUUCAAAGAAGAUGUUUGGUUAAAGAAAAAUUAAGAACAAUGUAAGUGUUAAUGAUGAAUGAUGCGACAACUCCUACUGCCUGUGAGAAGCUUGGAAGAAUGAAGAACUUCAGAAGGUGCCAAAGAUAACCAAGCUUUUCUGCUGAUGUAUGACUGAGACUAUUUCUGUGUAGUUCAGUGUUUCCGAACCUCUCUGAAACAGAAAAUGAAAUACUAAAUAUACCUACAUUGCUCAGCAAAUACUUGACCAGAUCAUUUAACACUGCUGGAGAGAGGCUUCACAGCAUUCCUUCAGCUGGCCAUGGAGAAUGAGCAGAUCCACUGGGCAACGUUUAAGCUGUCUUCUUCCAACAGUGUGCCCUCCAUGUUCUCGGUGGAUGUGGUUAUCUGGCAGUAGUUCAGACAGUGAAACUGGCUGUGAAACUGGCAUACUUUCACUGUGGAUCCUGCCGUGAAUUUACAAUUUAAAAACAAAUGUGAAAGUGAGAAGGUCUGACUACUUAUGGGACAAAAGCUGAAAUGGAAAACUCCAAGAACAGGAAGCUUUACCAUGGAUGGAAAAUUGUCAUGGGCUGUUUUGGACUGCAAAAACACUUCCUUGAAAUUAUUUUGUGUCUUGUCAGCUCUACCUUUUCCAGAAAACUGGUAUGUAUUCUCUUGUUUAGAAAUGGAAGAGGUCAAUUUUAUAAGGAUGUCUCCAGAAAUUCAUUUCUCACUGAACUUGAUGAAACUAUGCAUCUAUAGAGUAACGGCUACUAUCCCAGGUUUCUUUAAAUGAGUAAAAUUGGGUGGAACUGAGCGUGUUUGCCUGAGGUCAUGUGGGAAUAUGCGUAACAUCUUUUGAUUUUGGUCAAGAGGGAUCAAGGCUUUGGAGGAGAACUCUUUCCUCACCACGAAGAGGAAGAUCCUGCCAGCCAAUCUGACCUCUCUAGUAGGAAUUAAUUAAUUAAUUAAUCCUUCUGUAUUCUAAUUCUUUGUUGGAAUAUGCAGUGUUCUUUUGAGUAGCUUUUACAUUGAAACCUGAAAUGACUGGGAUAUACUGUAUAAAUACUAUAAUGCUAUAUAAAAUAAUCUACCAAAAUGAA